rnacentral:rRNA from 1 species
CCUACGGGUGGCAGCAGUGGGGAAUAUUGGACAAUGGGCGAAAGCCUGAUCCAGCCAUGCCGCGUGUGUGAAGAAGGCCUUCGGGUUGUAAAGCACUUUCAGUGGGGAAGAAAGCCUUGGGGCUAAUACCCUAGAGGAAGGACAUCACCCACAGAAGAAGCACCGGCUAACUCCGUGCCAGCAGCCGCGGUAAUACGGAGGGUGCGAGCGUUAAUCGGAAUUACUGGGCGUAAAGCGCGCGUAGGCGGUCUGAUAAGCCGGUUGUGAAAGCCCCGGGCUCAACCUGGGAACGGCAUCCGGAACUGUCAGGCUAGAGUGCAGGAGAGGAAGGUAGAAUUCCCGGUGUAGCGGUGAAAUGCGUAGAGAUCGGAAGGAAUACCAGUGGCGAAGGCGGCCUUCUGGACUGACACUGACGCUGAGGUGCGAAAGCGUGGGUAGCAAACAGGAUUAGAUACCCCAGUAGUC